UUGAACUUGGUUUACUUUCGUGGCGAGACACAUCAAAGUGACGGCCGACAUGUGCCUUUGAGGCUGAUGAAAUUAUUCCCGCAAUUUCCAGAAAUUUUUGCACUGAUUCUGAAAUAAAAUGACGUUGCAAUCUUUAAUUUUACUCUUCGU
ensembl:ncRNA R05F9.14 ncRNA